UCUUUAUAUUAAAUUUAAUAAUUUUAAUUUAGAAUAUUUUAUUUAUUAUUAAUUUUAUUAUUUUAUUGGGGUAAUAAAAAGAUUAAAAUAAUUCUUUUAUAAAUUUUUCAUUUAUUUAUGUUUAUGUGAUCCAAUAUUUUUGAUUAAAAGAUUAAGU
rnacentral:rRNA from 1 species